rnacentral:rRNA from 1 species
AACGUAGGUGGCGAGCGUUAUCCGGAAUUACUGGGCGUAAAGCGUGUGCAGGCGGGCCAGCAAGUGGCGUAUGAAAGCUCCCGGCUCAACCGGGAAGGGUUAUGCCAGACUGCUAGUCUUGAGUGCGAGAGAGGAGCGUGGAAUUCCGGGUGUAGUGGUGAAAUGCGUAGAGAUCCGGAGGAACCCCAGAGGCGAAGGCGGCGCUCUGGCUCGCAACUGACGCUCAGACACGACAGCAUGGGGAGCGAACGGG